GUGGGGAAUCUUCCGCAAUGGACGAAAGUCUGACGGAGCAACGCCGCGUGAGUGAAGAAGGUUUUCGGAUCGUAAAGCUCUUUCGUUAGGGACGAACGUGCUCUUUGUGAAUAAUGAGGAGUAAUGACGGUACCUAAAUAAGAAGCCACGGCUAACUACGUGCCAGCAGCCGCGGUAAUACGUAGGUGGCAAGCGUUGUCCGGAAUUAUUGGGCGUAAAGCGCGCGCAGGCGGGAUAUCAAGUCUGUCUUAAAAGUGCGAGGCUCAACCUCGUGAGGGGACAGCAAGUGGUAUUCUUGAGUGUCGGAGAGGAAAGUGGAAUUCCAAGUGUAGCGGUGAAAUGCGUAGAGAUUUGGAAGAACACCAGUGGCGAAGGCGACUUUCUGGACGAUGUCUGACGCUGAGGCGCGAAAGCUAGGGGAGCGAACGGGAUUAGAAACCCGGGUAGUCC
rnacentral:rRNA from 1 species